rnacentral:rRNA from 1 species
AUUGAACGCUGGCGGCAGGCCUAAUACAUGCAAGUCGAGCGGUUGAGGUAGCUUGCUACCGAUGCAGCGGCGGACGGGUGAGUAAUACAUGGGAAUCUGCCUGGUAGUGGGGGACAACGUUUCGAAAGGAACGCUAAUACCGCAUACGCCCUACGGGGGAAAGGGGGGAUCGCAAGACCUCUCGCUAUCAGAUGAGCCAU